rnacentral:rRNA from 1 species
GAUGAACGCCGGCGGUGUGCCUAAUACAUGCAAGUCGAACGCGUUGGCCCAACCGAUUGAACGUGCUUGCACGGACUUGACGUUGGUUUACCAGCGAGUGGCGGACGGGUGAGUAACACGUAGGUAACCUGCCCCAAAGCGGGGGAUAACAUUUGGAAACAGAUGCUAAUACCGCAUAACAAUUUGAAUCGCAUGAUUCAAAUUUAAAAGAUGGUUUCGGCUAUCACUUUGGGAUGGACCUGCGGCGCAUUAGCUUGUUGGUAGGGUAACGGCCUACCAAGGCUGUGAUGCGUAGCCGAGUUGAGAGACUGAUCGGCCACAAUGGAACUGAGACACGGUCCAUACUCCUACGGGAGGCAGCAGUAGGGAAUCUUCCACAAUGGGCGCAAGCCUGAUGGAGCAACACCGCGUGAGUGAAGAAGGGUUUCGGCUCGUAAAGCUCUGUUGUUAGAGAAGAACGUGCGUGAGAGUAACUGUUCACGCAGUGACGGUAUCUAACCAGAAAGUCACGGCUAACUACGUGCCAGCAGCCGCGGUAAUACGUAGGUGGCAAGCGUUAUCCGGAUUUAUUGGGCGUAAAGCGAGCGCAGGCGGUUUGAUAAGUCUGAUGUGAAAGCCUUUGGCUUAACCAAAGA